rnacentral:lncRNA from 1 species
GCUGCUUUCCACCCCCCAACUCCAGUAUUAUUGGAUGAGUUGAUUGAAAGAUACCCCUUAUCCUUCUUCAGACAAGCUCUCUUUCCCUGGUGUGGUUGCUGCUCUGAGUUAAGGGAACGGGAGAUGAUACUGACUAGAAAUUCAUCAGCCCCGGUGUUUACUACGUCCUAACCUCCGCCCCCACCCCAAGGCCACGACCGCUGUCUGCUAACCUGACGCCAAGGUUGGGCUAUGUGCUAUACAGAAGAAAUAAAGGGGGCAGUGGUUAGGAGCGGCCUUUUGGAAGAGGUACCAUUUGAGAAGAGUCUUCACGGAUGUAGAGGAGGGAGCCUUGUUGAUACGUGGAGACGUGCGACCCAGACAGAGGGAGCAGCCAGUGCAAAGGCCCUGAGCGCACCUUCCUGCGACUGCAGCGGCUGGAGGGCUCAAAACUACGUUUCCCAGAAUGCCUUGUGGCUGCGCAUGUGGCCGGAGGUUAGGUUCCACCAAUCAGGUGCCUCCGCGGGAAGCUUGAAUUUCUUACCGAAGUAAGCUGGGCGAGAGGCAGCCCGAAGGCCAGUGCAGAUCCCGGCGAGAGGCUGCGGCGGUGGAGCCGGCUGGCGGCUUCCUGAUCGCGCAGGAGGAGCAGCGGUUCCUGGACGGCCCUUUCUGAGCGCUGGAUUUGAGAAUGCCCUGGAGGCUCAGCCUAGAUUCUGUUUCUUCUGAGAGGCUCUGUGUCCCUUAAU